rnacentral:sRNA from 1 species
GUCGUGAGAUGUUGGGUUAAGUCCCGCAACGAGCGCAACCCUUGUCAUUAGUUGCUACGAAAGAGCACUCUAAUGAGACUGCCGGUGACAAACCGGAGGAAGGUGGGGAUGACGUCAAGUCCUCAUGGCCCUUAUGGGUAGGGCUUCACACGUCAUACAAUGGUACAUACAGAGGGCCGCCAACCCGCGAGGGGGAGCUAAUCCCAGAAAGUGUAUCGUAGUCCGGAUUGUAGUCUGCAACUCGACUACAUGAAGUUGGAAUCGCUAGUAAUCGCGGAUCAGCAUGUCGCGGUGAAUACGUUCCCGGGUCUUGUACACACCGCCCGUCACACCAUGGGAGCGGGUUUUACCAGAAGUAGGUAGCUUAACCGCAAGGAGGGCGCUUACCACGGUAGGAUUCGUGACUGGGGUGAAGUCGUAACAAGGUAGCCGUAUCGGAAGGUGCGGCUGGAUCACCUCCUUUCUAGAGUUGCACAGGUAGAGAUACCACUCAUUAAGCGUCCACUCUUAUCGACUGUUAAUAAAGAUAAAGAACAGCAUUUGGGGCUGUAGCUCAGCUGGUUAGAGCACCGUGUUGAUAACGCGGGGGUCGUUGGUUCGAGUCCAACCAGCCCUACCAGUUUUUGCGCGUGUUGCCCAUGGGGGAUUAGCUCAGCUGGGAGAGCACCUGCUUUGCAAGCAGGGGGUCGUCGGUUCGAUCCCGUCAUCCUCCACCAAAAGUUCAAACGUAAAUCAGCGCGAAUGGCGCCGGGAUUUAGGUUUGAUCUUUUAGAGAUUAAAUGCUGUUUCGUUCUUUAACAAUCUGGAAGAAGUAAAGUUUUAAUCGUUUGACCGACAGGUCGGACGAUGGGUAAUGAUUGUAUGUAUCAAAACAAGCAACAACGCUGUACUUUCUUAUCUCUGUAACGCUCCUUGGUUAGUCGCCAGGGGCUAAAGUUAUAGGGACAAGCGAAUAAGUGCACAUGGUGGAUGCCUUGGCGAUUACAGGCGAUGAAGGACGUAGUAGCUUGCGAUAAGCUGCGGGGAGUGAGCAAACACACUUUGAUCCGCAGAUUU